GAUGAACGCUAGCGGGAGGCCUAACACAUGCAAGCCGAGCGGUAUUUGUUCUUCGGAACAGAGAGAGCGGCGCACGGGUGCGGAACACGUGUGCAACCUGCCUUUAUCUGGGGGAUAGCCUUUCGAAAGGAAGAUUAAUACCCCAUAAUAUAUUGAGUGGCAUCAUUUGAUAUUGAAAACUCCGGUGGAUAGAGAUGGGCACGCGCAAGAUUAGAUAGUUGGUGUGGUAACGGCUCACCAAGUCAAUGAUCUUUAGGGGGCCUGAGAGGGUGAUCCCCCACACUGGUACUGAGACACGGACCAGACUCCUACGGGAGGCAGCAGUGAGGAAUAUUGGACAAUGGGUUAGCGCCUGAUCCAGCCAUCCCGCGUGAAGGACGACGGCCCUAUGGGUUGUAAACUUCUUUUGUAUAGGGAUAAACCUACUCUCGUGAGAGUAGCUGAAGGUACUAUACGAAUAAGCACCGGCUAACUCCGUG
rnacentral:rRNA from 1 species